GAUGAACGCUGGCGGCGUGCCUAAUACAUGCAAGUCGAGCGAACAGACGAGGAGCUUGCUCCUCUGACGUUAGCGGCGGACGGGUGAGUAACACGUGGAUAACCUACCUAUAAGACUGGGAUAACUUCGGGAAACCGGAGCUAAUACCGGAUAAUAUAUUGAACCGCAUGGUUCAAUAGUGAAAGACGGUUUUGCUGUCACUUAUAGAUGGAUCCGCGCCGCAUUAGCUAGUUGGUAAGGUAACGGCUUACCAAGGCAACGAUGCGUAGCCGACCUGAGAGGGGGAGCGGCAACACUGGAACUGAGACACGGUCCAGACUCCUACGGGAGGCAGCAGUAGGGAAUCUUCCGCAAUGGGCGAAAGCCUGACGGAGCAACGCCGCGUGAGUGAUGAAGGUCUUCGGAUCGUAAAACUCUGUUAUUAGGGAAGAACAAAUGUGUAAGUAACUAUGCACGUCUUGACGGUACCUAAUCAGAAAGCCACGGCUAACUACGUG
rnacentral:rRNA from 1 species